AACCAUUCCAGGAUCCAUGUGUGGGGCAUAGGAUGUGGAUCUGCCUGCACCAUGUAACUUCCAAGUUUUGAAUGCACUUUAGAACAACACUCAGCAACACCACAUAUGAGCGGGUGGUCUUCACACCCCUGUUUUCUGUUCACCAUUGGGGGUGGGGGGCCAAAAGGAGGAGUUGGCCAUCUGGUUGGGGUCUGGAAUGCUGGGCCUCCCUGCUGGUGCAGGACCAGGGGCAGUCUGCUUGUCUCCAUCCCAGGGCAAAGGACAACAUCUCUUGGGUAUGGGGAUGGAUUGCUCCUCUGGGGCUGAUGGUCUGUGGGACCCAGGAAGACUGUAUACCUGCAUCUUUACCAACUUGCAUUGCAGUUUCUGUGCACUCCAGCCUCUUCUGUUCUAUGUGAGAGGAUUUUCUCUUUUCAAGAAAACAAACAGUCUCAGCUGUUGCACAGUGGAACAAAUUCUCUUGUUAAAUAACAACCAAACAGGAUGCCCUUAAAUGUAUCAUGUUUUUACUUUACAAGUUCAGAAGCAUUUUUCCUUUCCAGUUCACAAUCAAGUCUACUCCUAGGUUUAAAAAUAUGUAUAAGAAAAUUGGCCUAAUAUGAUAUUAUUGAUAAACAUAGACCAGGGUUUUUAUGAUGUAUUUAUGACUGUAUUGUGUUUUUGCCUUGUAAAGCACUUUGUGACACGUCUGUGAAAGGUGCCAUAUAAAUAAACUUUACUUACUUACUUACAUACAUACCUUUCCAGCUGUCCAGUGAUUAAUUACAUAAGUACCUGGAGACAGGACGUCACAGCAGAAGCAUACUCCAUAAUGUGUUGUACAUUUUUAUAUGUAUAUUACAUGCAUUUUUCAUCUAUGGUAUGUACCACCAUCAAGAAG
ensembl:lncRNA